UUCGGUGGCGAUAGCGUAGAGGAAACACCCGUUCCCAUCCCGAACACGGAAGUUAAGCUCUACAGCGCCGAUGGUACUGCGCGGGGGACCGCGUGGGAGAGUAGGACGCCGCCGGAA
rnacentral:rRNA from 1 species